AGGUGGGGAAAGAAAUGAAACUAAAAAGAAAAUCUGUUUAAAAGAUAAAAAGAAAAUUAAAAUGAAAUGAAAUAAAAGAAAUCAAUAUUCUAAACUACCUAAAACAGAAAUAGAACCUAAACUAAUAUGAGAAUUAAAUGCAAUCAAAAUAAUAAAAAAUCAGAACUGUAAACAAACAACUGGACUUGGAAAUUAAAACUAAACAAAUCCUAAAAGCUAAAUGAAUAUCUACAAAUGAGAGGUAAUUUUUGCACAAAGAAUUGUAAAAUCUACAGUAAAGAAAAAUCAACAAGAAAUAAC
rnacentral:lncRNA from 1 species